rnacentral:rRNA from 1 species
UACGUAGGUGGCAAGCGUUGUCCGGAUUUACUGGGCGUAAAGGGAGCGUAGGCGGAUUUUUAAGUGGGAUGUGAAAUACCCGGGCUCAACCUGGGUGCUGCAUUCCAAACUGGAAAUCUAGAGUGCAGGAGAGGAGAGUGGAAUUCCUAGUGUAGCGGUGAAAUGCGUAGAGAUUAGGAAGAACACCAGUGGCGAAGGCGACUCUCUGGACUGUAACUGACGCUGAGGCUCGAAAGCGUGGGGAGCAAACAGG